UCUCCGUUGGUGAACCAGCGGAGGGAUCAUUACAGAGUUGAAAAACUCCAACCCCUGUGAACCUACCUUUACUGUUGCUUCGGCGGACGAUGGCCCCCCGGGCCGGAAGCCGCCGGAGGUUACAAACCCUGAAUUUUUGUCAAAUCUGAAUCAAAACUAAGAAAUAAGUUAAAACUUUCAACAACGGAUCUCUUGGUUCUG
rnacentral:misc_RNA from 1 species